UAAAAGCAAACUUCCUUUUUCUUUCUCUAUAUAGGAUAAGCUCCGGUCAAAAACUUCAAGGGUUUCCAGAUCCUGUUGAUGGUGUCAUAGCUUGCUACCAUCUGUUAUUGCUAACCAACCACUGUUGAGGCUUAAAUUUCACCCAGAAGCGUGUUUCAAUUCCCUCUUUUGAAUGAUAUGAUUGGUUUCUAUAGAAACUCAUGGGAUUUGUGUAGAUCUAAAAUCAAAGUUACGAUUUUCUUUUUCCAGAAUCUACCUCAUCGUUGCUCUGAUGAUUGUGGCUUCAAGGUAUGGCUUUGUCCUUGUUCUUAACUCCCUUUUCACCGAUUUUGAAGAUUCAAAUCCUCUUGAAAAUGAGUUAAAACAAAACCUAAAAAAAAAAAUCUCUAUUCUUCACUUUUUGUUCAUUUCUUUUCAUUUCUGGAUUCCUUUAGUUUCCAACUUCAAUUUAUUUCUUCUUGAAUCCAUGUUGAUGUGCUUAACUGAUGAUUGAAAGUUAUUCAAUGAGAAAUUAAUAGCAGUGGUAGGACUUAGUCUCAACAAUGGAUGGCUAUGGUGUUUACUUCGGUUGUUGGCUCCAUAUUGCCAUUCUUUGCUCAUGCUUGUUUUUUGUGAUUUCUGUCCAUAGAAUUGUCUAUAUUUUGCUUGUUGUCAAUUUGGGUUUAGAUUGCUUACAAUCAAUUUGGGUUGAGAUUGCAACUCUUCUGAUUGGUAGGCUUUGUGAGAAAUUAUGCUAUUAGGAAUGUUUACUGGGUAGUAUGAGUUUGCAGAUGUUGACUAGGUAGAUUAGGUUGUUUGCUGGCUACUGGUGGUGGUGACUAUAGAGAUUUGGCUAACUAAUGUUGGCAGGGGUGAUGUUGGCAAUGGAAAGGUAGACUCACGGAGCCAUAAGGAGUUGAUGAAUUUAGAAUCAAUCACUAGUUAUUGGUUGUGAUGGUGUCCCAGGUUAAAAUUGGGUUAUGGGUAGAGCUGGUUUUGGUGGUUAUGUGUUCACUGGAGAUGGCAGUGUUGGCAAUGGUCGGUUGUGGUAGGAAGGUUUGGUUGCCAACCUUUGCUAACUGUUGCUACUUAUGGUAGAGAAAAUAAUAAAAAUGGUGAUUGAACUACAAGUAAUUGUUGGGUUUUUCUUUAUAUUUUUCACUCUAUUUGUUAUUGCCCCCUUGCUAUGUGUGAACAACAGUUUAUAUAACAUGAUAAAGAUAUGAUUUCAAUUCAAAAACUGAGCAUUUUAUCUUCUUCAAUCUGAAUUUUGAUUUCAAGUAGCACUAAAAUUUCAAAAAUCUUAUUAUUUCAUUUUAUCCCUUUUUUUAUCUUUUUAUUUAUUUCCAAAAUAAUGAUAAAAGCAAAAAUAAAUAAAUAAAAUAAUAAAACAAAUGGACUUGCAUUAAAUCCAAAAUAUAAUUUGAGCCUAAUACUCAAAUGAUAAAUCCAAAUCAAUUGUACUAGGUCCAAAACCCAAUUUAAAUUAACUCAAGAUCCGAGAAUAACUCGAGAUGAAAUAGGGUGUCUAUAGUUACCCUUCUUUGCACAGUUUCUGUGAAAUAAGAAUUGCACAAAGAAUCACAAUUUUGAAAUUGGCUUUACAAGAACUAUAAAAUUUUGAAAUUUCAAAGAUUUACAAUUUGAAAUAUUAAAAAUUUUCAUAAUAAAAAAUUCACAACAUGAGUUGAAACUCAAAAUUUCACAAUUUGAAUUUAAACAAUCACAAUUUGAAAAUUCAAAGGUUCGUAAUUCAAAGAUUCACCAAAGAUUUAUAUGACUUUUAGCUUCACAAGAAUUUCAAGUUUACAAAAAUUUUCAAAUUCGUAAGACUUUUAAAUUUACAAGAUUUUUCAAAUUCAUAAAAUUUCAGGUUUGCAAGAAUUUUUAGAUUCAUAAGAAUUAAAGGUUUGCAAGAUUUUGAAAUUUCACUAGAAUUAAGAUUUGCAAAAACUUGAAGAUUUGCAAGAAUUGAAGAUUUGUAAAUUUUUUUAUUCACAAGAAUUGAAGAUUCAUAAAAUUCAAAGAUUUGCAUUCAAGAGAUUCAUAUUUAAAAUCCAAAAAUUCACAUUAAAAAAUUUUAAAGGUUCACAUUCAAAAUUUCAAAGAAUGUUAUUUGAAAAACUUUAGCGAUUCACAUCAGUAUUUCAAAGAUUUUCAUUUGAAAAACUUCUAGAGAUUCACAACUAAAAUUUCAAAUAUUUUCAUAAAGAAAAACUUUAGUGUUUUAUAUCCAAUAUUUUAAAGGUUCCUAUUCAAAAAUUCCAGUGUUUCAUCCAAAAUUUCAAAGAUUUUGAUUCAAAAACUUUGGGGAUUCACAUUAAAAAAUUUUCUAGAUUCUCAUUUGAAAAUUCUUAAAGAUUAUGUCUAAAAGUCUUACAAAUCAUUCUCAACAUUGAAAAUACUUCUUCAAAAGGCAUCACAACUUUAAAAUUUGGAAUGUUUUUGUCGUAAAAAAUCUCAUCAUGAAAAAUUUUCCUCAUUCGAGGAUUUAGAAGUUCAAAAUGUUCCUACCAAAGUCAAAAUUUUGUAUGAUAAUGAUACAAAUGCUUUCUCAAUGAUGCAAAUGCAACAAUUCAAAUUCUCACAAUAAUGCAAAUGCCUUACUCUAAACUAUGAUUCAAACAUUCACUACAUGAUGCAAAUACAUGACCAAACAAUGAUGCAAAUGCAAUGAUCAAAACAAAGAUUCAAAUAUUCACUGAAUUAUGUACAUGUAUUAUUUGAACGACAAUGUAAUGUAUAUGUUACUAAAAUCAAUACCAUGAAAUUCUAAUUGAUUGUGGUAAUAAAGUUCUCAAGACUCCACCAUCUCACAUUUUUUUUAGCUUCCCAACAUUAAAAAUUUCAAAAUCAAUUCACAAAAUUUGUCAAACGAUCUAUGUUAUUUCUAACAUUUGGUCAUAACUCACAUAUUAUAUUGGUUGAUCCAUCACCAUAUUCACCAAAUAGGCACCGCAUAUGCCUUUUCAAAUCAUCUUUUCAUCAUUUUUCAUUUUCUUUUUACCCAAUAUCAUUCUUGAUUUCUUUUCAAAGAAAUGCAUAAAUCCUUUAUGGACAUUGUCAUUCAUUCAUUAUCAUUUUAAUUCAUAACAAAUAUAAUAUAAUCUUAUAUUUUCUCGAUUUAUUUUGGGAUACAAAAAUGAGAAAGGACAAGGUGAACUGAAAGAAUAGGUAAUCAAUACAAGAAUGAGUUUGGUACAAAAACAAAUAGGCAAAAGAAUAAAUUCAAAGUAUGUCACUAGGAUAAAUAUUUGAAUGGUAUAAUAAUGUCUAAACAAUGAAUAUUCAAAUAAUUUUUAACAUUAAUCUAGAAUUCUUUUUCAAAAACUCAUUUCAUUGAUUUUCAGAAUCAUUUUGAGCUUAUCAAAUUUUUCUCAGUUUCAAAGGAUCUUUAGAUGACAUUGAUCUUCCAUAUAUUUAUCUGCCCAUCCAAUUUUUAGCUUAAAUGUUUUUCUACCCAAAUUGCCCUUUUGGGUUUCAAUUUGAGUCUCGCUUUUCUUUUCUUCUUUUCCUUUUUUCAUUUUUUCACAUUUCACAUUUUUUAUUCUUUUAUUUUUUUCACUUCAUCCAUUAUUGAUAUCUCGCACAUAUCAAUCUCGAAAACAUAAGAAAAAAAUCAUGAUUCCAUUGCUCCAUUACAAGCAUGCCUUUUUAGCUCAAUAAAUGAUCAUGCAAUUUGAGCAUUCACAUUUAAUCAAAGUAGACUUUUAUAGGUCGUAAUAUAGGCUAUGGUGAAGAGACAUGAAAAAAUGGAUAAAAGAGGCUCAAAAUAUAUGUUUAAAGGGUUCAAACUAAAGGAUCAUUUUUCAUCAUGUAAUGUAACUUGGUACUUUGUCCCAUUCCACAUCAUUUCACUACUUUUUUUCUUAUUCAUCUUAUUCCUCAAGAAUUCUCAUUCUUUUACCCUAGGUCAUUUGUGGUAUUUGCUUUUCUUUUCUUUUUGCUUUUUUUGUAGAAGCGAUUCUUUUUUUACUCCCCAUCUUUGAGAACUUUUGUAAUUUUUUGCUUUUUUAUUUGUAGGUUUUUUUCCAAAAUUUGCCCCUCAUAUAAAGGGUGAUCCUUGGUUAGGUUUUUUAGAAAAAGAAAUCAUAAUAGGCACAGAAGGGGUAGCAUUCGAUGAUUUCAUUUUUAGGAAUGGUAAAAGAAAUAUAGUAAUUUUUCACAUCAAAUAUGAAUCUUUUCUUUGAAAGACUAUGUUUUGAAUAAAGACAGACUGACAUACGCUUCAAGAAAUAUCCAUUUCAUUUUUUCAUGAAUGAUAUAUGUUCACAGAUUGUUUCUAUAUAUGUUCACAGAUUCUUUUUUUACUCAAAUAAUCUCUACAGAUUAAAUUUAUCAAUAUGAAUAAGUUUCCAAAAUUAAGUCCUAAAAUUAUUGUUUAUCAUUGUCUAAACAUUCAUCAUUUGGAAUUUGAAAAUGGGAAUAAAAGGAUAUGAAAAAUAAUAAAGUAUAGAAUAGUGGUUUGGAUGAAAGAGAAAAUUUAAUGAAAUGCAUCAACUUGCCUUUUUAUUAAAAUGAUAAAAAAUAAAAUCUUAUUACAUAAAAGAAAUCAUAGCAUUACUCUAAAAGAAAUAUUAAAAUGACAAGCAACUUUCAACCAGCCUUAACAUCCUUAUCCUUCUUAAAAUUAUACCCCUGUGUGAUCGGACAAAAAGGUUUUUAUUGACAUCUAGUUCCUCUAAUUCAUUAAAGUUUACCAAGCCUUUUCAUAUCAAACUUUGCACCAUGUGCUUAAAAGUAUGGUAAAUUUCUAUAGAAUGACCAAUGUUUCCAUUAUGUUAAUUGCAUGUGGCAUUAGUAUCAUACCAUUUGAGAUGGAACGGCUUCAAUGGUUCUAGAAUAACUAGAGAUACCAAGUCAUUUUUAAUCAAUUCUAAGAAUAGCUUAGUGUAGGUUAUGAAGAUAGCAUUAAUGUAAACUCUCUCGUGGUUGUUCCUAGAUAUUCUCAAACCACUUACUUAGUUAUAAGGCCUUGAAACUGGUGUAGUAAUAGGACUAGACCCAUAUGUAGGUGUUUGAAAGAUUGGUCAAUAAGCUGGUUGUGGAACAAGAUGGUAAGAGAGAGGCAUGACAUGGUUAAUGACUAGAUAAUAAGCAGGAUAUAUUGGCAAUGGGUAUGGGGCAUAACUUUUGAACUACUAUCCUUCAAAACCCACAACUUAAGUUUCGUUUUCUUUCCAUUUGGACAUACCAUCUUCUUUUGUACUAGUGGUUUCUUCCUCUUCAAACUUGUCACUCUUAAUAGCAUUCUCUAUCAUUUGCCUAGAAUUCACUAUAUCGAUAAAAUUUUUAGUGGUAUUCUUGAUCAUUUUCUCAUAAUUUGAAGCCUUCAAAGUACUCACAAAUAAAACUAUUGUUUCUUUUUCAGUGAAAGGUGAACUUAAGCAACAACAUCUUUCUACCAUUAUGAAUACUCCUUGAAGCUUUUAGAAGGUUUCUUUUUCAUGCUUUGUAAAGAUAAAUAAUUUAGAGCUAAGUCUAUGAUAUGUUUGUAUUAGGUAAUGAAUGCCCUUGCCAACCUACUCCAUAAGUGUAUACAAGUUCUCUCUAACUAGAUGUACCAUUUUACAAUUGAAUCAAUAAGGCUAUCUUAGAAUACAUGCAUCAACAGCUUCUUAUUUUAAGUAUAGACAACCAUUUUACGAUAGUACAUGGUCACAUAAGUUACUAAGCAUUUUAUCCCAUCAUAUUUUUUAAACUUAAGGACUUUAAAUUUUAGUGGGAUGACCACAUCCUAGACCAAACGGAGUUCAACUACAUCCAUGAAGCCAAAAUAAUCCAUUUCUUCAAUAGCUCACACUAUUUCUUCCAAAAAGUUUAUUUUUUAUUUUUAGCUUGAAUAAUCCAUCACCUUAGAUGUUUUUAUCUUUAAUCUCUCAUUCUCUUUAAAAUCAUCAAAAUUAGGAACUUCAAUUGGAUCAUAUACCUUUUUCUAAAGGUAGGGUUAGUGUAGCUAUGAAAUGGCACUUUAGGAUAUAUGUAAGCAUAUACCCCAAAAAAUGACAUUUGUGAGGCUUGUGUGUUUUGAGAAGAUUUGCCUUGAUUUCUGCCAAACUCAUAAAGGUGCAAAAAAUCCAUGAUAUCUUGUAUCUCUUUUGAAUUUAGGGUCUUUUUUAUUGACUUACCUUUAUCUAACUUCUUUAGCAUCUCUAUCAUCUUUGCCAACUUUCCUUUUAACUCUUUUUUAGUUCUCUCAAUCUUAUCCAUAUGGCUAUUUUGCUCUUGUUCCAUUUGCCUUGUUUAUAAUCUAGUAUGACGAGUAGGUUAAAUAAGAGUCUUCGAUGGUUGAGCUGUCCUUAAACAUUUGAUUAUCAUAGAUUAAGAUGCUUAUUUUAUUAAAUGUUUACGUAAAAAAAAUUAAGAUGAACCUAGCUUGUUUAAGAAUCCUAAAUACAUGAAUGAAUGAAUGCAUUGAAUGCUUGACAUAAUAUAUUAUGAUAUGCAAAUACAUAAAUGUAUGCACAAUGAUGUAUUAAUAGGUAAAUGAACGCAUGUACUGGUGUUUGUCAUAUUAUGAUGCAUGGAUGAAUGCAUAUGUUAGUGAUGCUAGAUUAAAAUACAACAUACAACAUAUAACAACUUAACAAUAAAUAAAAGAUCAAAUAAAAAGAAAGCUCAAAAAGUUCACUCAUAUGUCCUAACUAGGUUUACAUUCUAAUAAUGCUUAGACAUGGCUUCAGCUUAAGGUUGGCUUCUUAUACUUUACUACAUGUGGUUUGGGUUUAUAAUCUAUUAGUCCCUAAAUCGUUCUUCACAUCAUUAUCCAUCAUAAACUAGUAAAGGACCCCGAUUCUUACCCAUUAUAGGCUACAAGCGAAAAGGAUUUAAUUUGAGUGGGAGUAUUUCGCUAGCCACUGUGAAAGCAUUAAAAUCUUAUAAAAACAUAGGUACUUUACUCCCUCUUAGAGAGAUGGAGCUUAGGUAUAGAGCUCAUGUUAUGCACAUGUAUAUGAAUGACAUAAUAAGCAAAAUAAAUAAGUAAAAUAAGUGAAUAAAAAAUAUUUAAAAAAUUUAAUUUUAUUAGGCUUUUGGAUAACAUAAAUUUGUUUGUCGGCCUGACUCUUGACUAUCCCCAAUGGAGUUGUGAAAUUAUCAUAACGUAUAGAUCUGUAAACCUAUAGCUAGACAUGACAUAAAGAGUCACCACUAAUCUUUUUUCUUUAAGCGUGGUUGGUCACCUAACUGAAUCUGUUCCAUUUUAAAAAGGAGUCCCAAGUUUAACUCAGGUAUCUUUAAAAGGUAGAUUUUAGUCUUUGAAAAUCGAGCUAAGUUCAGAAGUAUGGUUAAGUACGAGUAAGGUUAUAACACCCAUCAAAUUAUGGUACCAACAGUUUCAUGUUAUCCAUUGAGCCUUUAAAAAAAUCUUAUAGAUAAUUAAUUAUUAGGAAUUGUUUUUAAUUGACUCUAAUACUUUGACAGAAAAUUAAAAAAAUUCGUAUACAAGAAAACUAUUGUUUCUCUUAUAGAGAGUUUGUUGUCAAA
rnacentral:lncRNA from 1 species